AAAGAUUGAUAUGAAUGCAGGGCACUGCCGGUACUGUCCACUUACAGAUAUACGCACACAGAUGCACAGGGCAGUACAGCUGUACUAUGCGCACACGUACCAAUAGCAUACAGUAGCAAGGGAACCACAGAGAGGUAAGAGAGGAGGGGCGCAGUGCAAGUCGAUUUGGAUGCCCCUUUUAUAACGGCCUUGAUGAAGCGCUGAGUAGUAGAAAGACAAAUACACGCACGUACGCGUGCUUCGACUUUAAAGACGUUCUUGAACACGCACGCACACAGCGUUGCAUCAUCUCUCUUCUCUCUCCUGAGUGUGUUUGUGUGUGCCCCAGUGCUGGCUCCUCUCUAUCUCUCUGUACGGUGAGCGAGUCGGUGCUCGAGUGCGUGUGUGCCUUCUCUCCCUUCUUCUAUUUGAGCAUGAACCAUGCGACGACCACAACCACACACGAUCGCCGGUGGGUGGGGCGGUGUAGCCGCGGUGAUGGUUUCCCUCUCUGUGUCUGUGUCACUCACGUUCCCCUCUCACCAUGCUCAGACUCCCCCCUCACUCCUUCGCUCCCCCUCCUCUCCUCCCGUCCCCAACCUAUUAGCUUUAUCUUCUUUCACAUUUUCUUUGUCUCCUCUGUUGUGUGCGUGUGAGUGAUGUAUUCCAUCUUCCUCUUCUAUAUCUCCCUUUUUAUCUUGUGCUUUCUUCAUCUCCUCUGUUGUGUGCGCGUGUGUGUGAACCUCCCUCCCUCCCUUCCCUCGGUGCCCGGCGCCCCCUUCCCCCUCUUCCCUUUCUGUGUCUGAGCCUGUGUACGCAUGCGUGCGUGUGUCUCUGCUGAGGCGGAUAUGCACACGCACGUGAAGGUACGUUUUCGGUGGCACUAUUCCACGCUGCUUCAAGGCGUCUCUCUCGCUCGGUGUGCGUGUGGGCAUGCUGCCCGCCUCUCUGACAAGGGCGAGAGAAGGGGUGGAGGCACACACCUGUGCGUGAGUGCCGAUGGGCAGUGGAGAGGCGAGACGCACUUUUGCCGUGUAUGAGGGAUGGCGCGUGCGUGUGCCCCUCAUGACCGAUGGCGGACCACACAUCACCGCCGCGCCACGUACCCCACCUCUCUUCGUUGUCAGUCACCUUCCGCUCUCUCUCCCUCCUCCAGUUUUCUCCACUCCACGCCAACAAGAGCACCGCAGAGGCUGCCGCGUACACGCGAGCUGUGCUUUGUGUGGCGGUGUGGCGUGGCUGCCAAACAACGGCGAGGGGCGGGCAGGAGAGGACGCAGCGGUGGCGGCGAGGCCAACCGACUGAGCCGGAACGCAAGCGGGGCGCGGCUAGCAGGAGGGAAGGAUCUCCCACGAGAGAGAGGGUGCUUUCUUUGCUUUCGCAUUAUUGUGCUCUUCGAGUGAACCUGAUGGCUAAUGUGCAACCGGUGUGACUUCCGCACUCACACACAUACUCUCGCGUCUGCCGCAGAGUGCGGGGUCGACUUGGCGACACACGUUUCGCGUGUCGCGGAACUUUUUUCUCACGGUGCCAGCACUCGCGCCUCGCCGCCAUCAUCACUGCCACCGCACGUACAAAACGAAAAACCCCGUACGCGAUGCCAAACAAGGGUGCAAGGUAGUGGGAAGGUUUCGGUGGAGAGAGGGCGGCGCUGAGAGGGGAGGGCGCGGUGAUGCUGCCACACGUGCGUUUGUGAAGGGGAAAAAGGACAGAGGCGAUAGAAGAAGUGAGUACACGCAUAUCUGCAUCUGUGCGUAUGAGGACAUGCUACCCUCCUCUCUGUUCUCCUCCCUCCUCGUCCCCACCCUGUGCUUCGAUCUCUUCGAUCAUCAUCGCCGUGUGCGCCCCCUCCCUCCCUCCUUUUUUGCUGCUCCUUCUCUUUCGCUCAUGCGCGCGUCUGUGGGCAUGUGCACGUCUGUGCGUGUACGUGUGUGCGUGUGUGCUCACGCCAUUCGCUAGUCUCUUCUUCCCCCUCCCUCCCUCUUCCUUCCAACUCGUUGGUUUCACACGUGCUCUGCGCUUUACCUCUCUCCCCGCCCUCUGUUCUCUCGGUUUGCUCCUUCUAUGUGUUUGCGGGGUGUCGUCUCUUGACUCCCUCUUUUUCUCAUUUCUCCGCCCGCGCGCGCGCGCGUGUGUGUGUGUGUGUGACUUGACUCUCUCUCCCUCAUGAGCCUUUGCGACGCACAAAUCAGCUGCCUUGUGGAGCCGCGCACGCACGCGCUCGCCUCUUUCUCUCGCUCUGCGUGCGAAGGCGAGCGCGUAGGGGAGCGUCAGCGCUUCUGCGGAGCGCGCGCGUGUGUUGUGAGCAGGCGGCACCAGCCCCCCUUCCUCUUUGCAAACCCACGCUCUCGCUCUUCGGUCUGCACCUCGGGCCCUUUUUCUCCUCCGCACGCGUGCCUCGCAGCGCCUCCGAAGGAGCCGGGGUAAUACAGGACAGCGUAUAGAGAGGGGGUGAGACGGGGCCACGGAGAACAGAGUGGAGAAUCCACAUGUGUGCCAGUCCUCACCCCCGCUCUCCCUUCUAUCGGCGUAUCUCACGAGGGAGGCAGGGGAGGGUGCUUGUGAGCUUGUGCCCAUGAGGCACAGACACACGCACACACACACACACACACACUCACCUGUUUCAUGUGUGCUUCCCCUCCUCUUCAUCACCCCCACGAUCUGUAGCCAGCUCCUCUGCCCUCGCCGGUGCGCGUGCUCUAUGUCGUCGAUCUUUCAGAGCUCACGCUUCUCCAUCCAGAUCGCACAUGCGCCACACUCUUCCUGCUGUGCUCUACUCUCUGUAACACCUUCCCUUCCCCACCACGUGCC
rnacentral:misc_RNA from 1 species